rnacentral:rRNA from 1 species
GAUGAACGCUGGCGGCGUGCCUAAUACAUGCAAGUCGAGCGAACAGACGAGGAGCUUGCUCCUCUGACGUUAGCGGCGGACGGGUGAGUAACACGUGGAUAACCUACCUAUAAGACUGGGAUAACUUCGGGAAACCGGAGCUAAUACCGGAUAAUAUAUUGAACCGCAUGGUUCAAUAGUGAAAGACGGUUUUGCUGUCACUUAUAGAUGGAUCCGCGCCGCAUUAGCUAGUUGGUAAGGUAACGGCUUAACAAGGCGACGAUGCGUAGCCGACCUGAGAGGGUGAUCGGCCACACUGGAACUGAGACACGGUCCAGACUCCUACGGGAGGCAGCAGUAGGGAAUCUUCCGCAAUGGGCGAAAGCCUGACGGAGCAACGCCGCGUGAGUGAUGAAGGUCUUCGGAUCGUAAAACUCUGUUAUUAGGGAAGAACAAAUGUGUAAGUAACUAUGCACGUCUUGACGGUACCUAAUCAGAAAGCCACGGCUAACUACGUG